GGGCUGGUAGAUCAGUGGAAGAUCGUCACCUUCGCAAGGUGGAGGCCACGGGUUCAAGUCCCGUCCAGUCCA
rnacentral:tRNA from 1 species